UGGAGAAGCAAGUUGUAGUAAUUUGUUCGAAUUUGGGCAUAUUAUCUACUUGCAAUAUGGCCAUUACAGAUGGAGGCUUAUGAUUCGGAAGCUAGAAUUGAGCUUUUGGGGAUAUUAUCUGCUUUCAUGGAACACUGAAUCUUCUGCUUUGGAAAUAGCAGACUUGUUGUCCGAGAAUAAGAGAGCUUAGCCGUGAACAUCAACUUCCGAGGCUUCAAGUAAAUAGGUUAUCCAUUGUAUUUCACAAGUUGCAAUAGCAAGGGCCUUAUAUUCUGCCUCAGAAGAGGAUUUUGAAACUGUUACUUGCUUCUUAGACCUCAAUGACACCAAAGUAGUAUCUAA